AUGAUAUCUGAUAGUUCCCCAUCUACAUUACCAUGAUAUCUGAUAGUUCCCCAUCUACAUUACCAUGGUAUCUGAUAGUUCCCCAUCUACAUUACCAUGGUAUCUGAUAGUUCCUCAUCUACAUUACCAUGAUAUCUGAUAGUUCCCCAUCUACAUUACCAUGGUAUCUGAUAGUUCCUCAUGUACAUUACCAUGGUAUCUGAUAGUUACCCAUCUACAUUACCAUGACAUCUGAUAGUUUCUCAUGUACAUUACCAUGAUCUACCAUGGUAUCACCUUAGUAUAAUACAGUAUACAUGAACUUGUGGUUAAUGCAUGCUCGGCAACUGGACUGUAUAGCUCAGUUGUUUAGACUUGCACUGGAAUCCCAGGUUCGUUUCCUGUCUAAGGGCCAAUAAUUGCAUUAAUGGCAGAGUAUCCGAGUUUGGAGGUAGGUGCCGUUGGUGGCCAAGGCUAGUCGGCGAUCUAGCCUUGUCGGGCAAAUGACCGCAAUGGCAAACAUUAGGCAAAACACUGGCAAACAUUUAUGGCAAACUGGCAAAUGGCAAAACUGGCAAACAGCAAUGGCAAACAGCUAUGGCAAAACAGCAAAAAACGUAAUAAUAAGGCUAAUUAUAGUAGCAAUAGGAGUUUGCCAUGACAAUUCUGCCAAGGCAGACCUCCGGCACCUGUCACACUGAUGAUCAGUGGAAAAAAGGACGCAUUCUAUGGUAGUCUAUAGAUUGUAUCCUAUAAAGAAAAACAAAUAAAAAACAAUCCGAUACAACCAAAACAAAACAACAAAAAACAAAGCUAAAACAAAAAUAAAGAAAUUAACUCGAGUAUCAACAAACAUUAACCAGGGUGGGGGCGAAGGGAACAGAGCGAAAGAGCAGUUGUAGCUGGCUAGCCAAGCUGUAGCAAAGUGACGGAUGCGCGAUAAUUGCAACUGUUCUAAGUGACGUCAGGGGCUCCCCGCUGCUAGAUACAUCUGCCGUUAACUUCGCUUAAAUCUACGUUUAACCACAUUAAAUCAGUAAAGACUGAUUUCAAUACAGCGCAAAUAUCGAUCCAGACUAUUUCACAUUUGCGAGCAAGACUUGAUGAAGACAGCUGAGACUAAAUGAAAACCAGACUUGAUGGUGUUUUAUUGAUAUUUUGUCAACACUUCAGCUCAGUGCAAAAUACCAGAA